UUCCCUUAGUAACUGCGAGUGAAGAGGGAAAAGCUCAAAUUUAAAAUCUGGCAGUGUUUCACUGUCCGAGUUGUAACCUAGAGAAGUGUAACCUGUGCUGGACCGUGUAUAAGUUUCCUGGAAUGGAGCAUCACAGAGGGUGAGAAUCCCGUCUUUGACAUGGACUACCAGUGCAUUGUGGUUGUGCUCUCAACGAGUCGAGUUGUUUGGGAAUGCAGCUCUAAAUGGGUGGUAAAUUCCAUCUAAAGCUAAAUAUUGGCGAGAGACCGAUAGCGAACAAGUGCCGUGAGGGAAAGAUGAAAAGAACUUUGGAAAGAGAGUUAAACAGUAUGUGAAAUUGUUGAAAGGGAAACGUUUGAAGUCAGUCGCGUUAGCUGGGGAUCAGCCUGACAUUGUUGGGUGCACUUCCUGGUUGACGGGCCAACAUCAGUUUUGACUGCCAGAAAAAGGCCAAGGGAAUGUGGCACCUUUGGGUGUGUUAUAGCCUUUGGUCAUAUAUGGUGGUUGGGACUGAGGAAUGCAGUGUGCCGAAAGGCCGGGUUUCGACCACGUUCACACUGAGGAUGUUGGCAUAAUGGCUUUAAGCGACCCGUCUUGAAACACGGACCAAGGAGUCUAACAUGCAUGCGAGUGUUUGGGUGGAAAACCCUUACGCGUAAUGAAAGUGAAAGUUGAGAUCCCUGUCGUGGGGAGCAUCGACGCCCGGACCAGAACUUUUGGGACGGAUCUGCGGUAGAGCACGUAUGUUGGGACCCGAAAGAUGGUGAACUAUGCCUGAAUAGGGUGAAGCCAGAGGAAACUCUGGUGGAGGCUCGUAGCAAAUCUGACGUGCAAAUCGAUCGUCAAAUUUGGGUAUAGGGGCGAAA
rnacentral:rRNA from 1 species